rnacentral:rRNA from 1 species
AUACAGAGGUUGCGAGCGUUAAUCGGAAUUACUGGGCGUAAAGCGCGCGUAGGCGGUCUAUUAAGUCAGAUGUGAAAUCCCAGGGCUCAACCUUGGAACUGCAUCUGAUACUGGGUAGCUAGAGUUUUGGAGAGGGAAGUAGAAUUUCAGGUGUAGCGGUGAAAUGCAUAGAGAUCUGAAGGAAUACCAGUGGCGAAGGCGACUUCCUGGCCAAAAACUGACGCUGAGGUGCGAAAGCGUGGGUAGCAAACGGGAUUAGAAACCCCAGUAGUCC